GUUUCUUCCAAAGGCAAGGCUCUGAAUGAACGGGCGAUAUUGAUCCUUCUUAGAAAUUCCUAAGGCUCAAUGUUGUGUGGAAGAUUCUGAGAAAGAAAAUAGUUUCCGAUCUUUGGGAUUCCCCUGAGAUGGUCCAAUCUGCAAAAAGUUCAUUGCCAUUUCCAUCAAGGACACUGAGAACAAGAGUCUUAUCCGCAUUGAAUCCUGGGAAUUGAGAAGCUUCAGCAGGGCUUCCGCUGGAACUAGGAUGAGGAUGUGGACACCCCCAACCUGGACCAUCUGGCCGAGGAGGGCGUCAAGGCCAAGUACCUCAUGCCACCCCUUGUCACAAUGACCUCCCCGUCCCACUUCACUGCCAUCACAGAAUCCCAGUGGCCACUAAAACAGAGGGAUUCCAACCUAAAAAGGAGGAAAAGGAGGCUGCUGAAAAGCAAAGGACUCUGUGUAAGAAUCAUAAUAGCGGAGGUGGAGCCAAGAUGGCAGAAUAGGAACAGCUCCAGUCUACAGUUCCCGGAGUGAGCGACGCAGAAGACAGCCUCCACUGCUGAUACCCAGGCAAACUCCAACAGACAUGCAGCUGAGGGUCCUGACUCUCAGAAGGAAAACUAACAAACAGAAAGGACUUCCACACUAAAACCCCAUCUGUACGUCACCAUCAUCAAAGACCAAAGGUAGAUAAAACCACAAAGAUGGGGAAAAAACAGAACAGAAAAACUGGAAACUCUAAAAAUCAGAGUGCCUCUCCUGCUCCAAAGGAAUGCAGCUCCUCACCAGCAAUGGAACAAAGCUGGACAGAGAAUGACUUUGAUGAGUUGAGAGAAGAAGGCUUCAGAUGAUCAGAUUACUCUAAGCUAAAGGAGGAAGUUUGAACCCAUGGCAAAGAAGCUAAAAACCUUGAAAAAAAAUUAGAUGAAUGGCUAACUAGAAUAACCAAUGCAGAGAAGUCCUUAAAGGACCUGAUGGAGCUGAAAACCAAGACAGAAGAACUACGUGACAAAUGCACAAGCCUCAGUAGCCAAUUUGAUCAACUGGAAGAAAGGGUAUCAGUGAUGGAACAUGAAAUGAAUGAAAUGAAGCGAGAAGAGAAGUUUAGAGAAAAAAGAAUAAAAAGAAAUGAACAAAGUCUCCAAGAAAUAUGGGACUAUGUGAAAAGACCAAAUCUACAUCUGAUUGGUGUACCUGAAAGUGACAAGGAGAAUGGAACCAAGUUGGAAAACACUCUGCAGGAUAUUAUGCAGGAGAACUUCCCCAAUCUAGCAAGGCAGGCCAACAUUCAACUUAAGGAAAUACAGAGAACGCCACAAAGACACUCCUCAAGAAGAGCAACUCCAAGACACAUAAUUGUCAGAUUCACCAAAGUUAAAA
rnacentral:lncRNA from 1 species